GUUAUUUUGGAUGGAAUUAACAGUCACGGUGUAGAAGGAAUAAAGGAGAAAUAAAUAGAAUUUCUUCAGAGAUAAACAUGGCUGCAUUUUCGCCAUUGCGAAGGUUUGUUUUGGUUGCUUUUCUCGUUUGUAUUCAUCGAAAUUACGCCAAGAGAACCGAAAUCAAGGGGGACCUUGGUAAUCUCGAU